CCUGGUGAAUCUUGGUUUGGGAGGAUGGAGGUUGAGACAAGCUUUGCACACUAACGUGUCCCAGAAGGUGAUGGAGGACAAAGGCUGCAGAUAUUCUGCCCAGAGCCCUGAAAAGCACUUCACAGUAAUGGGGCAGAUUGCUAGGUGUGUCUGCAAAAGAGUGUGCAGGCUUUGUGCACCCCCAGCUUACAUGCCUGAAGCCCCAAUGUGAUUCCUGUGAUCUGUGUAUGUAAUAUAAUAAAGGGGUGUGUGCAUCCAAUUCCUCACAUGCGUGUACACAUCAGGGCUUCUGUGUGGGUAACUCGGGUGUGUGGUUUUUUUGCACACAUGUUUUGAAAUAUCUGGCCCAGUGGGAUUUUAUUGAACCAAGAAAUAAACUAUAGUUCAUGCACUUUGGGGACAGAAAGGUCCCUUUUGCAGUGUGUGCUAAACCUGGCUCCUCAGUGCACUUUAAAGAGCAUGGAAUGAUGCUCUGCAGGAUCAUAAGAGAUGUCAAAACUGAAUGACAUUGUGGGGAUGUGUAUGCCCUAAAAGUGUUUAUAAUAUAAACUUCCGGAUUGCAUUCUGCAGGCCCAUAAUCUGCUCCUGGAAAUUCACUCUCUUCAUGGGGCACCGCCCUGGCUGGCAGCCUGGGAAAUAGCAGUGUUUGAAUAGUUAAAACAAUUCUAUCUCCCAUUGCAAAGGACUUCUUUGGUAACUGGCACUGUCUCUCAGUUAGCAGGUUUCUUACUGUAUUGUCACAGCAAUGUGGCAGUAAGUCCUACUUUAUUAGCAAGCAUUUUUCAAAGGAAUAAGAGGAAAUUGCUGUAAGUACAUUAGAAUCAAGCAUUGUAAAAGUAAGUCAAAUGCUGCCCUGGUUUCUAUUAAUGGAAGCACCAGGUGAAACAAGGGGAGUGAUUAUUUCCCCCUGCUCAGCACCAGGGAGAUCCAGGGCUCAUGUUAUAUGUUCAGUUUUAGGCGCAUGGACAGAGAGAUUCCAGAGGUGAGCAACAGUAAUGAUAACUUAAGAGCUGAGAAAAGAAGAGGAUAUGUGGGGUGUUUGUCACAGGGGGGCACAGUGCUGGUCUACAGGACAUCCAUGGAUACCCAGGCAAUGCUUACAUAUUCCAGUAGUGGGCACCAUAGUCAAAUCUUUUACAGUUCCAUAGCGAGCUGUUCUGAGGAAGGUGUAGCACUAGAGGGCGCUGCCCCUGGGCGACGUGUCUGUCAGGGUAUCUCCUGUACCAGAGAAGAGCAAAUUGGAGAUGGAUAUAAACUGACUAUCAACAGGUUUAGGCUCAUGUCACGGAGUUUUAGGAGUAGUGCAAUGUACUAGACAUUGGAGUAGCCAGAAUGGUAGUGGACUGAUCCCCUGAAUCAUUUGAAAUUGGACUGGGGAAAGCCCUAGGGAAUAUACGCGAGGGAACAAUCUUAUGCUGGGCCAGUCCUACCUGGAGGAAGUGACAUAGUGUGAGAAGCAACUAGAUUGGCUGUUUCACUGCCAAUAAAUCAUUCUCAUCCCUAACUUCUCUGAGGCCUUGUCUACACUGGCCAGUCUGUGCGCAGCAAAGCAGCUUUCUGCGCGGUAACUCCCGAGCUGCACACGCGGCCACGCCACUUCGUGUGCAGAACCUGCACAGUUGCAGCGCUGUAAAAAAACACCCUGAUGAGACGUGUGCAGGUUUCUGUGCAGGGGCUACAGCGCCGCGGGGCCAGUGUGGACACCCUGGUCGAUGACAGCGCUGCGAUAGGCCUCCGGGAGGUGUCCCACAAGGCCUCUUCUCACCUCUCUGGUCAUCAGUUUGAACUCUACUGCCCUGCCCUCAGGUGACCAACCGUGAGCCCCACCCCUUAAAUUUCUUGAGUAUUUUGAAAGUCCCCUUCCUGUUUGCUCGGUGAUGCGUGCAGUGGUCUCAACACAUCUUUCCAGGUGGCCAUGCCUGCUCCACGCACCAGGCGCUCCCCCGCUUGGAGCAAUGCCGAGCUGCUGGACCUCAUCAGCAUUUGGGUAGAGGAGGCCAGUCCCGGCUGCACUCCAGCCGUAGGAAUUAUACCUACGGACAGAUUUCAUGAUGCAUGACAGAAAGGGGCCAUGACUGGGACACACUGCAGUUCAGGGCCAAAGUGAAGGAGCUGCAGAACGCCUACCACAAGGCGCAGGAGGCAAACCACCACUCCAGUGCUCAGCCACGAGCUGCUGGUUCUACAAAGAGCUGGAUGUGAUACUCGGUGGCAACCCCACCUCCACUGCGAAGGCCACUGUGGAUACUUCGAGAGUGGACCAAGCCAGGAGGAGGAAAUCUUGGACGAGGAGAGGGCGGGGGACCCAGAGGCAGAGGAUGAUUCGGAGGUCAGAGAUGCAUGUCAGGUCAGAGGAGGCUAGCCAGUCACAGCUGUUGGAGCUUGGCGAAGUGCAGACAGGAGACAGGCCCCUGAUAUGACCUUGGGAGGCCAGCGUCCCUCUUGGUUAUCGCCAGCUGAAUGGCUACGCAGAAUUAGAAAGAGGCCACGAAGAACUAAAGAGGACUUUCUGCGUGAGGUCAUGAUGCACUCUGUGGCCGAAAAACAAGACCUGAAGGAGUGGCGGGACAGUGAGAAGAAGGACCGAAAGGAGAAUGCGGUGCGCGAGAACGAAGCCACAGAGCAGCUAUUAAAAGUUAUGAAGUGCCAAGGUGCUACCAGCACUGCAAACAGCUCCGUGCCCGCCCUCCCCUGCAGCCCCUGUUGCAAAAUGCUUUCCCAUGUGCCCCUCAGACACCGCCAACACACUCUUGCAUAGCCCUGAGGACUCCCAGUACCCACUGCGCUCAACAUCCGUCCCUCUGCAGUUUAGCCCUGCUGAAGUACAGUACCCACUGCACUGUACUCCAAAGGACAAGGUUGCAUAUGAUACCUAGACAUACACAAAUCUUUAACCGUCCCGGGACCUCAUCUCCUCCUGGGACCCUCCCUUUCCCCCUCCUCCACAGUGCUGAUGUGUUUUUUUGUUUGUCUCUUUCCUCUGGUUGUUUUUUAAUAAAAUAAUUGUUUUGGUUUGAAAGCAAACAGAGCCCUGCAAAGCAACAGGCAAUUUUCUUACACCUUCACAGGGCAUCGUCUGCACCAAUCAUCAUCCCCUCCUAGCAUUACAAGCGCUGCACUCCUGAGCACAGCAACAAAUAUUAGUGGAUUUCAGCUUCAAAUUGCUCCCUCAAGGCAUCCCUGAUUCUUAUGGACCCGCACUGCGCACCUCUAAUAGCCCUGGUCUCUGGCUGUUCAAAGCCCUGGUCUCUGGCUGAGCCUCAGCGAUCCAGCCCUAAGUGAAGCUUUCAUCCUUCCCUUCACAAAUAUUAUGGAGCAUACAGUACGUGGCUAUAAGCAUUGGAAUAUUGUCAUCGGCCAGAUCCAGCCUCCCAUAUAGGCAGCGCCAGUGGGCCUUUAAAUGGCCACAAGCACACUCCACAGUUAUUCUGCAUUUGGUCAGCCUGUUGUUGAACCGCUCCUUGCUGCUGUCAAGGUGCCCUGUGUAUGGCUUUAUAAGUCACGGCAUUAAGGGGUAGGCGGGGAAUCACAGGAUCACAAUGGGCAUUUCAACCUCCCCUAUGGUGAUCUUCUGGUCCAGGAAGAAAGUUCCUGCCUGCAGCUUCCUGAACAGGCCAGCGUUCCAAAAGAUGCCUGCGUCAUGCACCUUUCCAGACCAGCCUGCGUUAAUGUCCGUGAAACGCCCACGGUGAUCCACAAACGCCUAGAGAACCAUGGAGAAAUACUCCUUCCUAUUAAUGUACUUGCUGGCUAGGUGGUGUGGUGCCAGAAUUGAAAUAUGCAUGCCAUCUAUCGCCCCUCUGCAGUUAGGGAAGCCCAUUUGUGCAAAGCCAUCCAGAAUGUCACGCAUGUUGCCCAGAGUCACGGUCUUUCAGAGCAGGAUGCGAUUAAUGGCCCUGUACACGUCCAUCAACACGAGUUCAACGGUCAACUUUCCCACUCCGAACUGGUUAGCAACUGAUCGAUAGCAGUCGGGAGUAGCCUGCUUCCACAGUGCAAUUGCCACAUGCUUCUCGAAUGACAAGGCAGCUCUCAUUCUUGUGUCCUUUUGCCGCAGGACUGGGGCGAGUUCAUCACACUCCCAUGAAUGUGACUUUCCUCAUCCGAAAAUUCUGCAGCCACUGCUCAUCAUCCCAGACCUGCAUGACGAUGUGAUCCCACCACUCAGUCGCUUGUUUCCCAAGCCCAAAAGUGGUGUUCCACUGUGGUCUGCACCUCUGUGAAUGCCACAAGCAAUCUCAUGUCAUAGCUACUACAUGUGGCGAGAUCAAUGUCCAACUCCUCUGCCUUUGUAGUUUAAGGAAUAACUCCACUGCCUCUCGUGACGUGUUAGGGAGAGUGAGCAGCAUAUUGGUCACCAGUGCGGGAUCCAUUCCUGCAGACCGAAGAAGCAGAGCGCGCAGUACACAAACGGUUGAAAGAUGGCUCCAAAUGUGGACAGAAGUACAGGGAUUGUUGGUAUGCAAAGCAAUGCAUCACGCGGCACUGGGACAGGACUCAGGAUGCCCCAUGACUCCCUUUGCCUUCCCACAACUCUUAGAGGCAGAAGAGGAAGAGAUGCUCUGUGGGAUAGCUGCCCAGAGUGCACUGCUCCAAAUACCACUGCAAGUGCGAACAUGCUAUUGCACAGACAGCUGACAGUGCGAACUCACAACAGCAGUUUCCCUUCAGCGCUCUCUGAGCGGCACAGUAACUGCUGGCGAUGUCACUCUGCCAGUGUAGACACACCCUGGCACUUUUUCUCUGGUAAAGUUAUAAAGGUUCUUUAAGGGGCCCUGUUAAAGAAAACAUGUUGGUUAUAUGCCCUUUGCUGCUGCUUUGAGAUCCUACAGCAGGGGUCGGCAACCUUUCAGAAGUGGUGUGCCGAGUCUUCAUUUAUUCACUUUCAUUGAAGGUUUCGCGUGCCAGUCAUACAUUUGAACGUUUUUAGAAGGUCUCUCUCUAUAAGUCUGUAUAUUCUAUAACUAAAUUAUUGUCAUAUGUAAACUAAACAAGGUUUUCAAAAUG